rnacentral:rRNA from 1 species
CCAGACUCCUACGGGAGGCAGCAGUGGGGGAUAUUGCACAAUGGGGGGAACCCUGAUGCAGCGACGCCGCGUGGGUGAAGGAGCGUUUCGGCGCGUAAAGCCCUAUCGGCAGGGAAGAAGGAGGACGGUACCUGACUAAGAAGCCCCGGCUAACUACGUGCCAGCAGCCGCGGUAAUACGUAGGGGGCAAGCGUUAUCCGGAUUCACUGGGUGUAAAGGGAGCGUGGACGGCGACGCAAGUCUGGAGUGAAAGCCCGGGGCCCAACCCCGGGACUGCUCUGGAAACUGCGUCGCUGGAGUGCGGGAGGGGCAGGCGGAAUUCCUGGUGUAGCGGUGAAAUGCGUAGAUAUCAGGAGGAACACCGGCGGCGAAGGCGGCCUGCUGGACCGUGACUGACGUUGAGGCUCGAGAGCGUGGGGAGCAAACAGGAUUAGAUACCCGGGUAGC